rnacentral:piRNA from 1 species
UCGGGUGAUGGUACUUCAUUAGCUGCCCAAA